CCCGGGUUGAGAUCUCUUUCUGAAACUGCAGACAAUAAAGCAUUUUCCCUAAGAAAGUUAACAAUGUGAUAAAUACUGAUGCAGUGUUUCAACACACUUAAUUAUUUCUUUUUUUUCAUUGUUUAUCAUCAUGUUGUCAACUUUCCAUAUCAUUCCCCAUAAUGCUUUGUGCUAGAUUUUCUUUGAAAAUUUCUUUCCUCUGAACUUACCAUGAACUUGUCUGUAAAAUACGGCCAUAAAAUGCCACUGACAAAACAAAACAAAACAAAAUCCUCUAUUCACUAAUAAAAGAACAACACUCGGUUUCUCUCUCAUCCCUCACUAAAAAAAAAAAAAAAAAGAGAGAGAAAAAUAGAAAAUUCAUACAGAGAAAUAGUUUUUAAUUGCAGGUAUGAAGCAGGUUGUGAAAGUGGAGUAGAAAACAAGUCAUCAGUCAGGAGGGUGUAGUUUAAACCAAUGCGGAGUUUGUGCUUCAUUCCAUUUGUUCUCACUAUGGUGAUGGCAGUUGACUGUCACCAGUGUUGGGAUUAAACUUUGUGUGAUUGAGGGGGAGGAGGAGGAUUGUGUUCCCUGAGUCGUUCUGUGGGAGGAGAAGGAUUAUGCAUGUGCCUUAUGUAAUGAGGAAGAGGCUGGAGAACUUGAAUGUGUACAAGGAAGAGGUGGGAGGAUUAUCUUUUGAUAUGAAGGAGAGAGAGCGGCUGUGGUUCUGAUCCUUGAAGGAAGCAUCAAAAAUGCCUUACCUACUUCUAUGGCCUGCUUUUUGUAUUAGAGGAGGGCUUUUUUUUUUUUUUUUUCCAUGAUGUGGAAGAAAGAUUAUGGAAGGGGUGAGAAGGCAGAGGGUGAUGUUGGGAGGCUGAGUUGUGCUAAUGCAUUAGCACAGACCUGACAGAGGGAUGGAGUUUAAACUGAGUCAGUUGAGCUACCUGGAACAUGAAUCACUGAGGAUGGGAUGUUCUUGCUGUCCUCCAGAGAACCAGAGGGGGAGAUGGAGAAGUCUCAAAGACAGGUUUGGGGUGAUGAGAGGUGGGCAGCCAGCAGUGCAGGGAAGUUUCUCCAGGAACUUCUGCGCGUCUCGCCUCUUCCCAGGACCCGCACUGAAACACUUCUGGACGAGUAGAGGCUGA
rnacentral:lncRNA from 1 species